rnacentral:rRNA from 1 species
ACUCAAAGGAUUUGGCGGUAACUUAGUCUAUUUAGAGGAACCUGUCCUGUAAUCGAUAGUCCACGAAAAAUCUUACUUUAUCUUGUAAAAACAGUUUGUAUACCGUCAUUAUUAGGUAACUUUUAUAAAAGGCGAAGUUACUAAAAUAGUCUAGCUAAUAUAUUAGAUCAAGGUGCAGCUAAUGGUAAAGGAGGAGAUGGGUUACAAUACACUAAAGUAAACGGAACAAUAAAUGAAUAUUUACUGAUAAAGGUGGAUUUAAGAGUAAAAUAAUUUUAACAAGAUUAUUUGACU